rnacentral:lncRNA from 1 species
CUCUUCUUUGCAAGAAAGCAUCAUUUUAGGGUAAGAGCCAUUUCUCAGAUGUUCACCUUACUUUCUGUAGUAAGGCUUCAACAUGCUUGUGACUGCCUAUAACCCUAUCUUCAUCUUUCAAGGCCUGUGGAUACUGAAAACAAAACAAUGAAAGAACAAGACCUCUGAUAGAUUUCAUGGGCUUCUUGGAGGACCAACGUCAGUCAAUGGAAGUGUGAUGACUUAUCAGAGGCUUCCUUGGUUGCAGUACAGAAGAUGCAAUGCCAGCAGUGCUUUUUCAGGAGCUCCCUCUGAAGAAGAUCAUGGCUCAGUUACCAUGGACACCAAGAAGCUAUGCAGCUUUUUAUUCUUUUUACUUCCUUCAUUAUGUGCCCUCCCAGGAAAUAUAUUUUCAUUAGUAACUAGGUUUUGAAACUUUUGCCAAGACACCAGCCUAACCUAUUGCUCUCUAAACAAAUACCUUCAGUAUCUAAUACAUAGGUAUAUGCCAGUCUGAGCCAACUGUGCUAUUAGGAAACUAAUAAAUACUCCUUUGCUUCCUAUUUAAUGAGAAAAAGCACGACAAUAUUGCUCAUGCCAGAUCAGGUUUUGAUUGGUAUGUGCUUAUCCUUCAUAAACAAAUGUAUUUUAUAUGAAAAACCACAGGGGAAAUAUUUUUAUUUAUUUUAUUAGUUGUACAAAAGCCAUGUUGGCAACUGAAGAACCAAUAAAAUAAAAUUGUCUCAUGUGGUUCUUAUUAUGGAAUCAAAUAGUAAUGUAAAAGGCAAGCACACACCAAUCAUAAUUCCAUCUGGCUGAAAGAACAGGAAAAUGUGGCUCCAUUUUCAUUAGGAAAAGGAGGCAUAUAUUUCAUAAUGUGUUCAAAUGUGGCUCUAAAGGUACUCCCAGUACACUACUGCAUUUUGUACCACUCAUGGGGUGCCAUAUCUACUGAUGCAGGUUAAUGUAAUCAAAGUGACUUGAAAGGAGAGGACUGCUGUUAGCCUUGCAUCUGCAUUAAUAGAGCACCAACAGAAGCUAGAGCAACAUUUCUUGGCAUUCUGGAAAGAAAUGCAUGUUGAACCAGUAAGCAAUAUGUAUAGCCCUUGCAAUAUACACUUGGCAUAUUUGCAGCAAGUAAGUUGCCAUUCAUGUAACCACCAAAAAUACAUUCCAGAAUGUUUACUCUUUUCAGUAAGCAGAUAAUACCAUUCAAGCUCUGGACUUAAAAGAUUGCAUGCAUAAAUAUUUUCUAAAUUCCUUUAGUGCUGUUUUUGGUUUAUCUUCAAGGAAAUAUAAGGGUAGCUAUUAUCAAUAGAAGGUAGGUAUUCAUUUGUAAGAGGUUGGGUCAGCAAGACACUGCUCUAUUGAAUCAUAUCUGGGACAACAUGGAGUGGUCAUUUGGGCCUCUGGGAAGUGUGGCAUGGAAGAGUAGUUCUUUAUUAAGAACAAGAAAGUAGCUAGCCCUGAGAAUAAAGGUUGAUUUGCUUUG